GGACAAUUCAGAGUCGUACAAAGUUCGUACUGAAAUGGAGUGUUUGGUGUAGUAUAUAGUACUAGAGAUUGGAUUUCUCUCAAAACUCACAAAAUGACUCAUCCCGCGACAUUAUGAUGUUCCCCAAGUUUUGGACUCAAUCUGAUAUCGAUUGGUCCAUGAAUUUGGACAUUUCUGGUUCGUACGAAGUUCAUUCUAAAAUGGAGUGGUUCAUGUAUUGCAUAGUUCUACAGAUUGGAUUUCACUCAAAACCGACCAGAUGACUCC
rnacentral:lncRNA from 1 species